rnacentral:rRNA from 1 species
CUCAAAGGCUAAGCCAUGCAUGUCUAAGUUCAAAUAAACCUAUAAUGGUGAAACCGCGAACGGCUCAUUAUAACAGCUAUAAUGUACUUGAUGUUGAUUAUCCAACGUGGAUAACUGUGGCAAUUCUAGAGCUAAUACAUGCACCAAAGCUCCGACUUUUGAACGAGCGCAUCUAUUAGAUUAAAACCAAUCGGGUUCACUCAAAUGAACUCGUUAAUUGGUGACUCUGAAUAGCUAUGGCUGAUCGCAUGGUCUUGUACCGGCGACGUAUCUAUCAAGUGUCUGCCUUAUCAACUUUCGAUGGUAGUUUAUGUGCCUACCAUGGUUGUAACGGGUAACGGAGAAUAAGGGUUCGACUCCGGAGAGGGAGCCUGAGAAACGGCUACCACAUCCAAGGAAGGCAGCAGGCGCGCAAAUUACCCACUCUCAGAAUGAGGAGGUAGUGACGAAAAAUAACG